rnacentral:misc_RNA from 1 species
ACCACAAAAUGGAGAACGACGGCGGUGUGCAGUGGCAGUUCAAGGUUAACGACGCGCUCUCCGGCGCUGCAACCGUCAGCAUCCGUGGCAUCCUCAACAAGAUCAUGUACCACCUCGACGCAGCAGGCCGGAGCCCCGUUAUCCCCCUUGGCCACGGGGACCCCUCCGCCUUCCCCUGCUUCCGGACGACGGAGGUCGCUGAGGAGGCGAUCGUGGAGGCGGUUCGCUCGGCCAAGUACAACUGCUACGCCCCCACCGUCGGCCUUGCUCCGGCGAGAAGUGCUAUUGCUGAGUACCUUUCUCGCGAUCUUCCCUACAAGCUGUCCCCUGAUAAUGUCUUCCUCACUAGUGGCUGCACCCAAGCGAUCGAGGCCAUAAUUUCUGUUCUUGCCCGCCCUGGUGUCAACAUACUACUCCCGGAGCCUGGCUUCCCAUUUUAUGAAGCACGUGCCACAUUUAGUGGGCUAGAAUUUAGACAUUUUAGCCUUGUUCCAGAGAGGGGAUGGGAGAUUGAUCUUGAUUCUGUAGAAGCCCUCGCAGAUGAGAAUACUGUGGCCAUGGUCAUCAUCAGCCCUAGCAAUCCCUGUGGGAAUGUUUUUACCUACCAGCAUUUGUCAAAGGUUGCAGAGACCGCAAAGAAGCUUGGCAUAAUGAUCAUUGCAGAUGAAGUAUAUGGUCACUUGACCUUCGGGAGUAAUCCCUUUGUGCCAAUGGGUGUUUUUGGGAAGACUACUCCCAUACUUACUGUCGGAUCUAUAUCAAAGAGGUGGG